UUAAUUGAAACCAAAAAAAGGUACUUUAUUGUUAAUAAUUUUAUUGAAUAAAUUUAUUCCAAUUAAA
rnacentral:tRNA from 1 species